GAUGAACGCUAGCUACAGGCUUAACACAUGCAAGUCGAGGGGCAGCGCAGUGUAGCAAUACACGGGCGGCGACCGGCGCACGGGUGCGUAACGCGUAUCCAACCUUCCCGUUACUCAGGGAUAGCCUUCCGAAAGGGAGAUUAAUACCUGAUGGUGUUUGAAUUCCGCAUGUUAUUCAAACUAAAGAUUUAUCGGUAACGGAUGGGGAUGCGUGACAUUAGAUAGUAGGCGGGGUAACGGCCCACCUAGUCUACGAUGUCUAGGGGUUCUGAGAGGAAGGUCCCCCACACUGGAACUGAGACACGGUCCAGACUCCUACGGGAGGCAGCAGUGAGGAAUAUUGGUCAAUGGUCGGAAGACUGAACCAGCCAAGUAGCGUGAAGGAUGAAGGUUCUAUGGAUUGUAAACUUCUUUUAUACGGGAAUAAAGCCCACUACGUGUAGUGGUUUGUAUGUACCGUAUGAAUAAGCAUCGGCUAACUCCGUGCCAGCAGCCGCCGUAAGAC
rnacentral:rRNA from 1 species